rnacentral:rRNA from 1 species
UACAGGGGGGUGCAAACGUUGCUCGGAAUCAUUGGGCGUAAAGCGCACGUAGGCGGUCUGUUAUGUCGGAUGUGAAAGCCCUUGGCUUAACCGAGGAAGUGCAUCCGAAACUGGCAGGCUAGAGUACUAAAGAGGGUCGCGGAAUUCCCGGUGUAGAGGUGAAAUUCGUAGAUAUCGGGAGGAACACCGGUGGCGAAGGCGGCGACCUGGGUAGAUACUGACGCUGAGGUGCGAAAGCGUGGGGAGCAAACAGG